rnacentral:rRNA from 1 species
AGACACGGCCCAGACUCCUACGGGAGGCAGCAGUGGGGAAUAUUGCACAAUGGGGGAAACCCUGAUGCAGCGACGCCGCGUGAAGGAAGAAGUAUCUCGGUAUGUAAACUUCUAUCAGCAGGGAAGAAAAUGACGGUACCUGACUAAGAAGCCCCGGCUAACUACGUGCCAGCAGCCGCGGUAAUACGUAGGGGGCAAGCGUUAUCCGGAUUUACUGGGUGUAAAGGGAGCGUAGACGGAAGAGCAAGUCUGAUGUGAAAGGCUGGGGCUUAACCCCAGGACUGCAUUGGAAACUGUUUUUCUAGAGUGCCGGAGAGGUAAGCGGAAUUCCUAGUGUAGCGGUGAAAUGCGUAGAUAUUAGGAGGAACACCAGUGGCGAAGGCGGCUUACUGGACGGUAACUGACGUUGAGGCUCGAAAGCGUGGGGAGCAAACAGGAUUAGAUACCCUGGUAGUCCACGCCGUAA